GAGAGAAGGAUAAGAGGUGGUCCUGCCCUCGGGGCUUGCAGUCGGCUGGGAUGAUAAGUCCUGCAGAAAUUUAGUGGCCGAGCUGCCACUAGAGCUCAGGUCUCUCUCUGGACUCCCAGACCAGGGCUUAUCCUGUUAUAUUGUGGCCUCUUCUAUUCUAUCGCCACAGUCACACGGGGAGAGGAGUCUGUCGGGAAAACAUGCACCCUCUACAAAGGAGUGAUUCAGAUGACCUGGUCUCAGCUUCCAGCUCCUCUGCUCUCCAGCCGUUCACACACUCCCCAUCACAGGAAGAUUUGUUAAAAGCCAACCAAGAAAGAGAGAGAAUUUGAGAUCCUGCACAAACAAUCCUAGAAGGUGCCAGAAGCUGCCAGAAGCUUCUUCUUUUCCAAGAAGCCACCACUUUGACUGCAGCCACAAAUGACUGCCCACUCCUGCAGGAAGACAGGAGGACCCCAGAGCCCUAUGUGCUCUGCCCCUGUCUACAGACCUGCCUCUCACCGCAUGCCCACAGUCACCACAUGUCAGCCAUGGCAAACUACCUGGGGACCCCCAAGCGACCUGCUUGUGGGGCUCUGCACCCUGGUGCCAGUUCUUCUUUUAGCCUGGGGUCCUCCACCUGCCCUCUGCCUCAAUGGCUCAGUAGAGCCUUCAGAGCUCACAUAUCAGCUCCUCCAAAAAGUGGUGCCGGACCCUGCCUCCCGUCCCUGAAAACCGAGCUUGCACUGUCACAUUUAACAUGUUGUGCCUGACCUAUUCUUCUACACUUCUGUCCUCGUGACGUGGGGUCUGCUGGAGGCCAGUGAAUGUGAAUUUUAUCUUUGUACUUGCAGGGCACAACACGACACUAGGUAUGGAUUAGAUGCUCAGUAACAAUUUUAAACUGGUUUAAAAGUAAUUCCAACAUUGCAGAAGGGUCUAAGGCAAAAAAUGAAUAAAAGUUUCCUG
rnacentral:lncRNA from 1 species